rnacentral:ncRNA from 1 species
UCAAAGGCCCUUUUAAGGGCCGCCCACCUUUUCAUGAAAAGAGCUG